rnacentral:rRNA from 1 species
UUUAAGCUUCCUACGGGAGGCUGCAGUGGGGAAUCUUGCGCAAUGGGCGAAAGCCUGACGCAGCCAUGCCGCGUGAAUGAUGAAGGUCUUAGGAUUGUAAAAUUCUUUCACCGGGGACGAUAAUGACGGUACCCGGAGAAGAAGCCCCGGCUAACUUCGUGCCAGCAGCCGCGGUAAUACGAAGGGGGCUAGCGUUGCUCGGAAUUACUGGGCGUAAAGGGAGCGUAGGCGGACAUUUAAGUCAGGGGUGAAAUCCCGGGGCUCAACCUCGGAAUUGCCUUUGAUACUGGGUGUCUUGAGUAUGAGAGAGGUGUGUGGAACUCCGAGUGUAGAGGUGAAAUUCGUAGAUAUUCGGAAGAACACCAGUGGCGAAGGCGACACACUGGCUCAUUACUGACGCUGAGGCUCGAUUGCGUGGGGAGCAAACAGGAUUAGAUACCCUUGUAGUCGAAUUCUU